rnacentral:rRNA from 1 species
UCGAGAAUUUUUCUCAAUGGGGGAAACCCUGAAGGAGCGACGCCGCGUGGAGGAUGAAGGUCUUCGGAUUGUAAACUCCUGUCAUUGGGGAACAAUGCGUAAAUAUUAACUGUAUUUGCGUUGAUAGUACCCGAAGAGGAAGAGACGGCUAACUCUGUGCCAGCAGCCGCGGUAAUACAGAGGUCUCAAGCGUUGUUCGGAUUCAUUGGGCGUAAAGGGUGCGUAGGCGGCGCGGUAAGUCGGGUGUGAAAUCUCGGAGCUUAACUCCGAAACUGCAUUCGAUACUGCCGUGCUUGAGGACUGGAGAGGAGACUGGAAUUUACGGUGUAGCGGUGAAAUGCGUAGAUAUCGUAAGGAAGACCAGUGGCGAAGGCGGGUCUCUGGACAGUUCCUGACGCUGAGGCACGAAGGUCAGGGGAGCAAACG